UACGUAUGUGGCAAGCGUUGUCCGGAUUUACUGGGUGUAAAGGGCGCGUAGGCGGGAUCGCAAGUCAGAUGUGAAAUCUCCGGGCUCAACCCGGAAAUUGCAUUUGAAACUGUGAUUCUUGAGUAUCGGAGAGGCAAGCGGAAUUCCUAGUGUAGCGGUGAAAUGCGUAGAUAUUAGGAGGAACACCAGUGGCGAAGGCGGCUUGCUGGACGACAACUGACGCUGAGGCGAAGGCGUGGGGAGCAAACAG
rnacentral:rRNA from 1 species